rnacentral:rRNA from 1 species
AACGAACGCUGGCGGCAGGCCUAACACAUGCAAGUCGAACGCCCCUUCGGGGGAGUGGCAGACGGGUGAGUAACGCGUGGGAAUCUUCCUAUUGGUUCGGAAUAACCCAGGGAAACUUGGGCUAAUACCGGAUGGUCCCUCCGGGGUAAAGAUUUAUCGCCAAUAGAUGAGCCCGCGUCUGAUUAGCUAGUUGGUGAGGUAAUGGCUCACCAAGGCGACGAUCAGUAGCUGGUCUGAGAGGAUGAUCAGCCACACUGGGACUGAGACACGGCCCAGACUCCUACGGGAGGCAGCAGUGGGGAAUAUUGGACAAUGGGCGCAAGCCUGAUCCAGCCAUGCCGCGUGAGUGAAGAAGGCCUUAGGGUUGUAAAGCUCUUUCAAUCGUGAAGAUAAUGACGGUAGCGAUAGAAGAAGCCCCGGCUAACUCCGUGCCAGCCGCCGCGGUAA